UCUAUCCCCAUGGACGGUCCGCGCGUCAUGGCAUUCCUCUCGAUGUCGUACGCGCCGCUUCGAAACCUUGAGGAUAUUUUGUAACCACACCCGGCUCUUCUUUGGAUCAAGGAUUGCCCAGUGUUGUUCUGUUUGCUUUUGCCCUUUUUGAGGUGUCUGCCUCCCUCUAUAACCCAAGUAACGAAGAUAGGGGGCGGCGAUCUACGAGGCGCAGGACCUGCUGACGCGGGGCAGCGUGGCGCUGAAGGUGGAAUCGGCCCAGCAGCCCAAACAGGUGCUAAAGAUGGAGGUCGCCGUCCUGAAGAAGCUCCAGGAUGAGUGGAAAUGGGCUCGGCGGAUUCAUUUACAAGAACCGAUCGAUCCACGCCUACACAGUGACCUAUUGAUUUGAUUCAACAUGCAUGUACUUUUUGUCAUUGGGUGAAUGUUGUAGGGAAGAAGAAAACCGUUUUUACAUAAAUCUUGUUGAAAACACAGGAAAUGGCAUGUUGAGUGUCAAACCCAUGUGUGGAUCAGUUCUGGGGACAGAUUGUCUGAAAUUCAAUUUGGGUGACACUUCAUUUUUGCUGCAGUAUCCUGAUUGUCAAUUUCUUCUUACAAUUCAUCAGAAAAUUUUUGCAUAGGCUCAAUUCGUUUCUUUUCCUUCUUUUUUUUUUACUCCAAACUCUACUUUAUUGCUUUUUAACCAGCAUGUUGUGUUUCUUUUACCCAUCUGAGAUGAAAAUCGAUGAGCUGGGAUCAUGUUUGCUGUCUAAUGGCCUCGACCUGCAGCCCUGUGAUUCUGCUGCUUCCUAAGGGAGCCUGCAUGUAACUUGAGAUGAACUCAACUCUAAUCCCCCAUCGCUGCUGAUCCGUGCAACUGUCGAGAGUAAACAUUGACCAACAGUAUCAUUCCAAGGCUCAUUGGUCAUCCCGCUCUCAUCACGAGAAACACACUACUACGUGGUGAUGGAG